CGGGGUGAGUAAUGUCUGGGAAACUGCCUGAUGGAGGGGGGUAACUACUGGAAACGGUAGCUAAUACCGCAUAAUGUCGCGAGACCAAAGUGGGGGACCUUCGGGCCUCUUGCCAUCGGAUGUGCCCAGAUGGGAUUAGCUAGUAGGUGGGGUAACGGCUCACCUAGGCGACGAUCCCUAGCUGGUCUGAGAGGAUGACCAGCCACACUGGAACUGAGACACGGUCCAG
rnacentral:rRNA from 1 species